rnacentral:lncRNA from 1 species
AAGGUGUUUUAGUACUAUAAAAUAAGUCCAUGGUCAGUGAUAGCCUCCCGCUUGGAUGGUAUGAGGAAGGUCAUGAAAACUUGAAAUCUUCCAAAUGAGAAAGAUAAGUGACUUGUCAUACAGGGAAGGAGAGUCAGAAUGGGUUCACCAAAGGCUUUUAAAGGAUCAUUUGGGCAAGGGAGAUGAGAGGCUGGUCAGAUAGAGGAGAAUGCUAUAGAUGAAGCUAAUUGGGAGGAGGGAAAGAGAGGAGCCAUCUGAGCGGACCUUACCUAUCACGCCUAGCCCCUACUUGGGUUGGCCCUGUGAUACAACUAUAUGACUCAUAGGGUAUGACCCUACAGAGCAUGCAAAACCUACAAAAUAAAUAGAAAUCAAAACAUAAUUUGCAGAUUGUUCAAUAAAUAUUUUUACUAAUUAUUAUAUCAAUCAAUACAUAGUUUCAUUAUAAGUGAAGGAUAAAAAUCAUGCAACUAUAUGAUUCUAUCAUUUAUCUAGUAUCAAAGCUAUGUGCUAACUACUUAUUAUUGGACACAUCACUUAUGUGGCCC